UUGGUGCGUUAAUACACAGAAUUCUGAUUAUAGCGCACUAUUAUAGCACC
rnacentral:rRNA from 1 species